UACGGAGGGAGCAAGCGUUACUCGGAAUUAUUGGGCGUAAAGGGCGCGUAGGCGAUUUGAAAAGUCUUGUGUGAAAGCCCCGAGCUUAACUCGGGAAGUGCACAAGAAACUGUUGAAUUUGAGUUCCGGAGAGGAAGGCAGAAUUCCCGGUGUAGCGGUGAAAUGCGUAGAUAUCAGGAGGAACACCAAUAGCGAAGGCAGCUCGCUGGGACGUUACUGACACUAAGGCGCGAAAGCGUGGGGAGCGAACAGG
rnacentral:rRNA from 1 species